GCGAAGAACGCUGGCGGCGUGCCUAAUACAUGCAGUCGAGCGCAGGAAAUCAUCCGAACCCUUCGGGGGGACGUUGAUGGAAUGAGCGGCGGACGGGUGAGUAACACGUAAAGAACCUGCCCUCAGGUCUGGGAUAACCACGAGAAAUCGGGGCUAAUACCGGAUGGGUCAUCGGACCGCAUGGUCCGAGGAUGAAAGGCGCUUCGGCGUCGCCUGGGGAUGGCUUUGCGGUGCAUUAGCUAGUUGGUGGGGUAAUGGCCCACCAAGGCGACGAUGCAUAGCCGACCUGAGAGGGUGAUCGGCCACACUGGGACUGAGACACGGCCCAGACUCCUACGGGAGGCAGCAGUAGGGAAUCUUCCACAAUGGACGAAAGUCUGAUGGAGCAACGCCGCGUGAACGAUGAAGGCCUUCGGGUCGUAAAGUUCUGUUGUAAGGGAAGAACAAGUGCCGCAGGCAAUGGCGGCACCUUGACGGUACCUUGCGAGAAAGCCACGGCUAACUACGUGCCAGCAGCCGCGGUAAUACGUAGGUGGCAAGCGUUGUCCGGAAUUAUUGGGGCGUAAAGCGCGCGCAGGCGGCCUCUUAAGUCUGAUGUGAAAGCCCCCGGCUCAACCGGGGAAGGGCCAUUGGAAACUGGGGAGGCUUGAUAUAGGAAAAAAAUGGGAAUUCCACGUUGUACGGUGAAAUGCCUAAGAUGUGGAGGACCCCAUGGCCAAAGCAACUCUUUGCCCUAUAAUUGACCCUGAGGCCCAAAGCCUGGGGACCAACCGGAA
rnacentral:rRNA from 1 species